AGUGAACGCUGGCGGUAGGCCUAACACAUGCAAGUCGAACGGCAGCACAGUAAGAGCUUGCUCUUACGGGUGGCGAGUGGCGGACGGGUGAGGAAUACAUCGGAAUCUACUUUUUCGUGGGGGAUAACGUAGGGAAACUUACGCUAAUACCGCAUACGACCUACGGGUGAAAGCAGGGGAUCUUCGGACCUUGCGCGAUUGAAUGAGCCGAUGUCGGAUUAGCUAGUUGGCGGGGUAAAGGCCCACCAAGGCGACGAUCCGUAGCUGGUCUGAGAGGAUGAUCAGCCACACUGGAACUGAGACACGGUCCAGACUCCGACGGGAGGCAGCAGUGGGGAAUAUUGGACAAUGGGCGCAAGCCUGAUCCAGCCAUACCGCGUGGGUGAAGAAGGCCUUCGGGUUGUAAAGCCCUUUUGUUGGGAAAGAAAAGCAGCAGGUUAAUACCCCGCUGUUCUGACGGGACCCAAAGAAUAAGCACCGGCUAACUGCGU
rnacentral:rRNA from 1 species